AUGACCCCCAAGAAAUAAGCUCAGGCUUGGGGCAGCAAAAGGUGGAGUAGAAAAAGAAAGAGAUUAUCCAAGACAGAACUUUUGGUCUAAAGGAUAAGAAAGGAGCAAAGCAACAGAAGUUUACCAAGGCUGUUACUCAUCAAGUUCAAUUUGGUCAACAAAAUCCACAUUAGGUAGUGUCAAGUGAAGCUGAAAAGAAACUGAACAAAGGUAACAAGAAGAAAGAAUUACAAUAGCUAAAUGAGCUGCUCAAACCUGUAGUUGCUGCUCAAAAAAUAAGUAACGGUGCAGAUCCCAAUUCCACAGUACAUGCAUUCUUCAAGCAAGGACAGGGCACUAAUGGAAGUAAAUGUAAGUUCCCUCAUGACUUGACUCUGGGGAGAAAAUGCGAUUCAAGAGGUAAAGAACUAGAAAAAGAUUCUCUGGAUACCUGGGAUGAGAAAAAACUGAAAGAAGUAGUGAACAAGAAGCAUGGUGAGGUGGAAAACAAAAACCCAACACUCAAGUAGUGUGCAAACACUUCCUUGAAGCUACUGAAGGCAAACAAAUACGGCUAACUCUGGGUACGCCCUGGAGGGCGUGAUAUCUGCAUGUAUCAUCAUGCACUCUCCCCCAGAUUUGCGUUGAAAAAAAGAUAAAAAUAAAGACGAGAAGAAGAAGAAAUUUCAUUAGGAGAAUUUAAUUGAAACAGAGUGUGCUACCCUAGAUCCAACUGCUAACAAAGUCACUCUAGGAUCUUUUCUUGCAAGAAAAGGAAGAAAAGGAAAAGACAAGAAAAGAUUGAUCAACUUGAGCAAGAUAUGGAAAGAAAAGCAUACUUCAAAGCAGGGAAAGCACUAACCACCAGUGGUCCUGAGGCGUCUGCAUUUCUUCUGAAUGGGUGGACGAUAACGAGGAGGAAGCAGAGGGCACCUGUGACACCCGGGAAACAGGUGGAGAUGAGGCCGAUGACUCAGUGAGUGUACAGGACGGAGACUUAAGCGUGUACAUCCCAAGAGACGUAGAUGAGACAGGUAUUACUGGAGCCAGUCUUGAAAGAUUUCAGCACAUACACUUCAGAGAAAGAUGAAAACAAAUUAAGCAAAGCUUCCAGAGGCAGGGCUGAAAAUAGUGAAAGAAGUGAUCUGGAAGAGGACAGCGAAGGGAAGGGACAGAAAAAUGGAGCCAUCAAUGCUGUUCCUAUCAAUGAAAAUCUUUUUACUGGGAAAGAUUUGGAUGGAUUAGAAGAAGAAUUAUACACACUUGAUUUAGAAGAAUGACACCAGACAAAUCAUCGAAAAAAUUAAGCCAGCUCAGCAUGGGUUGAAAUUGACUACAGUGGUUCUUCCACCUAGAAUUCAACACGAUGUUUAUUUCUCAUGCUGAUUCUGGAAUGCUUACCUUCCUCCAAAAACCGAAUAUUCUCCCUAAAUCUUGUCUUCUGACUUUGGCUACAUCUCAUAGUAAGUUCAGAAUAGUUCAUGAUAAAUUGAAAAUAUAAUGGUCAUUGAAGAAAAUGACUGACUGCUGUAACUGUCCACUCAAGUAGCAAGUAUAACUGCUUUUCUAGCUUUUGAUUUUUAUUAGGCAUGUGUUAUUACAAAGACAACAUAAAUUUAAAUUUAAAAUACCCUUCAUUUAAUGCAGUUUUUAAUGAGUGAUUUCAUUUCCUUUGUACUUACAUGUUUAAAAGACUGCCUAAAAUAUGAGCACUGAAUUUCACAAAGCAAACUGCAUAUGCAGAUUCAGUAUUUGUAUAUCUUUGGACAAUUAGAUGGCAAUUCAAAAUGCAACUUCUUUACUAUGACAGGAUCAGCUGCAAUGUCUUGUGUUUUAAACUUUUCCCUCUUCUUUUUUGCCAAUAAAGUUGUAAAUAAAGACCAUCAUACAUUAAAA